rnacentral:misc_RNA from 1 species
UGGUUCUGGCAUCGAUGAAGAACGCAGCGAAAUGCGAUAAGUAAUGCGAAUUGCAGAAUUCAGUGAGUCAUCGAAUCUUUGAACGCACAUUGCGCCCUUUGGUAUUCCGAAGGGCAUGCCUGUUCGAGCGUCAUUAUCAACCCUCAAGCCUGGCUUGCUGUUGGACCUUCGUCGUCAAAGACGGGUCUCAAAGACAAUGACGGAGUCGGUCAGACCCUAGAUGCAACGAGCUCUUGUAGCACGCAUUGAAGGGGAUGGCGGUUCCAGUCUUAAACCAAAUAUUUCAUCAGGUUGACCUCGGAUCAGGUAGGAAUACCCGCUGA